UACGUAGGGGCAAGCGUUGUCCGGAAUCAUUGGGCGUAAAGCGCGUGUAGGCGGCUCGAUAAGUCUGCUGUGAAAGUCCAGGCUCAACCCUGGAUGCCGGUGGAUACUGUCGAGCUCGAGUCCGGAAGAGGCGAGUGGAAUUCCUGGUGUAGCGGUGAAAUGCGUAGAUAUCUGGAGAACACCGGUGGCGAAGGCGGCAUCCUGGACCAACACUGA
rnacentral:rRNA from 1 species